rnacentral:rRNA from 1 species
AGCGAACGCUGGCGGCGUGUUUAAGACAUGCAAGUCGCACGGGAUAAGACAUGUAGUAAUACUUGUUUUAUUUAGUGGCGCACGGGUGAGUAACACGUGAAUUACAUGCCCUAUAGUGGGGAAUAGCCCAGGGAAACUUGGAUUAAUACCCCAUGGUAUCGAAAGAUUAAAGGUGGCCGCAAGGCUGUCGCUAUAGGAUUGGUUCGCGCCCUAUCAGCUUGUUGGUGAGGUAACGGCUCACCAAGGCAAUGACGGGUACCUGGUCUGAGAGGAAGAUCAGGCACACUGGAACUGAGACACGGUCCAGACACCUACGGGUGGCAGCAGUCGAGAAUAAUUCACAAUGGGGGCAACCCUGAUGGUGCAACGCCGCGUGGAGGAUGACGGUCUUCGGAUUGUAAUCUCCUGUCAUCUGGGAGAAAGACCUGACGGUAAAUAGCCGGCAGGGUUGAUAGUACCAGAAGAGGAAGGGACGGCUAACUUCGUGCCAGCCGCCGCCGUAA